GAUGAACGCUGGCGGCGUGCCUAAUACAUGCAAGUCGAGCGAACGGACGAGAAGCUUGCUUCUCUGAUGUUAGCGGCGGACGGGUGAGUAACACGUGGAUAACCUACCUAUAAGACUGGGAUAACUUCGGGAAACCGGAGCUAAUACCGGAUGAUAUUUUGAACCGCAUGGUUCAAAAGUGAAAGACGGUCUUGCUGUCACUUAUAGAUGGAUCCGCGCUGCAUUAGCUAGUUGGUAAGGUAACGGCUUACCAAGGCAACGAUGCAUAGCCGACCUGAGGGGGUGAUCGGCCACACUGGAACUGAGACACGGUCCAGACUCCUACGGGAGGCAGCAGUAGGGAAUCUUCCGCAAUGGGCGAAAGCCUGACGGAGCAACGCCGCGUGAGUGAUGAAGGUCUUCGGAUCGUAAAACUCUGUUAUUAGGGAAGAACAUAUGUGUAAGUAACUGUGCACAUCUGGACGGUACCUAAUCAGAAAACCACGGCUAACUACGU
rnacentral:rRNA from 1 species